rnacentral:lncRNA from 1 species
UCUUGAACAUCUAACGUCUACCAAGACUUUAAAAAUUAAUUUUAACCAAUGUUUUAGUUAAAAUUGUAGGGAGGGGUUCCACACUCACAAAUACACAUAAGUCUCCACAUUUGAUAACAUCCUCCCCUCAAACAAAGGACCACCUCCCCUACCGCGGAAGUCUUUUUCUUAUCCUCGAGUACACCAUGGUCAACACUUCUCUCUCACAAUCCAUAGUCAAACACUGAGCAUCUCUUUCUCUCUCUCCACCUCUCAUGAUUCACUUCCAGGCUAUUAGCUAUGGCCAAAGCUUCACCAGAUCAUGGAGGAAUGUACUCGACUUGAGCCCGGUCACCAGACCCAAACCAUGGGCUCUGAUACGAUUUGUAGGGAGGGGUUCCACACUCACACAUACACAUAAGUCUCCACAUUUGAUAAGAUAUUGUCCGCUUUGGGUCAAGCCC